rnacentral:lncRNA from 1 species
GACUUCAGGGGCACUUGAGACUUGUAGGGAUUGUGCUUGGGUUCCCUGCCAGCCUCAAGCUAACGAUGUGGGAGAGACUGGAAUGUACUUGGCAUGAGCCGCGUUUCUGAUGGUCUGAAAGGAGUAAGUCUAGAGCCCAUGGCUCAGCGGAUCCCGGGAUUCUGUUCUCAGGACCAGGGGGUGGGAAGGUCGGACCCUCUGAGACAGGGCGACUGAGAACCCAGAGAUCUCCCACAUCCGAGGAACCUGAGGAUCAAGUGACCGACACCCCCAGUGUCCCUUCCAAAGACUUGCCAUUAG